rnacentral:rRNA from 1 species
UACGUAGGGGGCAAGCGUUAUCCGGAUUCACUGGGUGUAAAGGGAGCGUAGACGGCCAUGCAAGCCUGGAGUGAAAGCCCGGGGCCCAACCCCGGGACUGCUCUGGGAACUGUGCGGCUGGAGUGCGGGAGGGGCAGGCGGGAUUCCUGGUGUAGCGGUGAAAUGCGUAGAUAUCAGGAGGAACACCGGCGGCGAAGGCGGCCUGCUGGACCGCGACUGACGUUGAGGCUCGAAAGCGUGGGGAGCAAACAGG